rnacentral:hammerhead_ribozyme from 1 species
AUCCAGCUGGUGAGUUCAAAAUAGGACGAAACGAGGGUCCUGAAU